rnacentral:rRNA from 1 species
UAUGGCUCAGGAUGAACGCUGGCGGCGUGCUUAAUACAUGCAAGUCGAACGGAGUUAGAUGAAACCUAGUGAUUCUAAACUUAGUGGCGGACGGGUGAGUAACGCGUGGGUAACCUGCCCUGUACAGGGGGAUAACGGUUGGAAACGACCGCUAAAACCGCAUAACAUCGGAAUACCGCAUGAUGUUCCGGUCAAAUAUUUAUAGGUACAGGAUGGGCCCGCGUCUGAUUAGCUAGUUGGCGAGGUAACGGCCCACCAAGGCGACGAUCAGUAGCCGUACUGAGAGGUAGAACGGCCACAUUGGGACUGAGACACGGCCCAAACUCCUACGGGAGGCAGCAGUAGGGAAUAUUGGUCAAUGGGGGAAACCCUGAACCAAGCGACGCCGCGUGAGUGAAGAAGUAUUUCGGUAUGUAAAGCUCUAUCAGCAGGGACGAUAAUGACGGUACCUGACUAAGAAGCCCCGGCUAACUACGUGCCAGCCGCAGC